AAAAAAAAAAAAAAAAAAAAAAAAAAAAAAAAAAAAAAAAAAAAAAAAAAAAAAAAAAAAAAAAAAAAAAAAAAAAAAAAAAAAAAAAAAAAAAAAAAAAAAAAAAAAAAAAAAAAAAAAAAAAAAAAAAAAAAAAAAAAAAAAAAGAGUGGACAAAGAAGGAUGUUAAAUUAACCUUUGAUUAUGACUCAUAAAUCAUUGCUUAGCUUUCCAGUUAUAAUCAUGAAAACAUCUGUUGCUUCACCCUGUGAAAGAGAAGAUUGAUUAGGAAUUACUCUUCAGCUUCC
rnacentral:lncRNA from 1 species